rnacentral:tRNA from 1 species
UAGGAAGUGGUGUAGUGGAAGCACACAGAGUUUUGAUCUCUGGAGGACGGGUUCGAGUCCCUUCUUUCUAA